rnacentral:rRNA from 1 species
UUAAAUGGCCGCGGUAUUUUGACCGUGCUAAGGUAGCAUAAUCAUUAGUUUUUUAAUUGGAAGCUGGAAUGAAGGGUUUAAUGAAAAAAUUACUGUCUUAGAUUAAAUUUAUUAAAAUUUUAUUUUUAAGUUAAAAAGCUUAAAUUAUUUUAAAAGACGAGAAGACCCUAUAGAGUUUUAUAAAGAUAUUAUUUGUAAUUUUUAGAAUUUAUUAUUAACAAUUAAUAAUUUUAUUUAAUUGGGGUGAUUAAAAAAUUUAAUUAACUUUUUUUUUAUAAAUAUAUUUAUUCAUGAAUUUUUGAUCCUAAUGUUUAGAUUAUAAGAAAAAAUUACCUUAGGGAUAACAGCGUAAUUUUAUUAGAAAGUU